CCCUUUGGGUGUGACUGCGUACCUUUUGUAUAAUGGGUCAGCGACUUAUAUUCUGUAGCAAGGUUAACCGAAUAGGGGAGCCGGAGGGAAACCGAGUCUUAACCGGGCGUUAAGUUGCAGGGUAUAGACCCGAAACCCGGUGAUCUAGCCAUGGGCAGGUUGAAGGUUGGGUAACACUAACUGGAGGACCGAACCGACUAAUGUUGAAAAAUUAGCGGAUGACCUGUGGCUGGGGGUGAAAGGCCAAUCAAACCGGGAGAUAGCUGGUUCUCCCCGAAAGCUAUUUAGGUAGCGCCUCGUGAAUUCAUCUCCGGGGGUAGAGCACUGUUUCGGCUAGGGGGCCAUCCCGGCUUACCAACCCGAUGCAAACUGCGAAUACCGGAGAAUGUUAUCACGGGAGACACACGGCGGGUGCUAACGUCCGUCGUGAAGAGGGAAACAACCCAGACCGCCAGCUAAGGUCCCAAAGUCAUGGUUAAGUGGGAAACGAUGUGGGAAGGCCCAGACAGCCAGGAUGUUGGCUUAGAAGCAGCCAUCAUUUAAAGAAAGCGUAAUAGCUCACUGGUCGAGUCGGCCUGCGCGGAAGAUGUAACGGGGCUAAACCAUGCACCGAAGCUGCGGCAGCGACACUGUGUGUUG
rnacentral:rRNA from 2 species